ACGGCGACAUUACGUUGAAACCCCGGUUCUCGUACAAUCACCGAAGUUAAGCAACGCCAAGUCUGAUCAGUACAUACCUGGGUGACCGCUUGGGAAUACCAGGUGCU